rnacentral:rRNA from 1 species
AUACGGAGGAUGCAAGCGUUAUCCGGAUUUAUUGGGUUUAAAGGGUGCGUAGGCGGAGGAGUAAGUCAGGGGUGAAAUACUGCAGCUUAACUGUAGCAUUGCCUUUGAAACUGCCGUUCUUGAGUACAGUUGAGGUAGGCGGAAUGUGGUGUGUAGCGGUGAAAUGCAUAGAUAUACCACAGAACGCCGAUUGCGAAGGCAGCUUACUAAGCUGUUACUGACGCUGAGGCACGAAAGCGUGGGGAUCAAACAGGAUUAGAUACCCUGGUAGUCCACGCUGUAAACGAUGAUUACUGGUUGUUAGCGAUAUAUAGCUAGUGACUGAGCGAAAGCAUUAAGUAAUCCACCUGGGGAGUACGUCGGCAACGAUGAAACUCAAAUGAAUUGGCGGGG